rnacentral:rRNA from 1 species
AACGAACGCUGGCGGCAUGCCUAACACAUGCAAGUCGAACGAGAUCUUCGGGUCUAGUGGCGCACGGGUGCGUAACGCGUGGGCAUCUGCCCUUUGGUUCGGAAUAACAGAUGGAAAUGACUGCUAAUACCGAAUGAUGCCGAAGGUCCAACGAUUUAUCGCCAGAGGAUUAGCCCGCGUAAGAUUAGCCAGUUGGUGUGGUAAAGGCGCACCAAGGCGACGAUCCUUAGCUGGUCUGAGAGGAUGAUCAGCCACACUGGGACUGAGACACGGCCCAGACUGCUACGGGAGGCAGCAGUGGGGAAUAUUGGACAAUGGGCGAAAGCCUGAUCCAGCAAUGCCGCGUGAGUGAUGAAGGCCUUAGGGUUGUAAAGCUCUUUUACCGGGGAUGAUAAUGACGGUACCGGGAGAAUAAGCUCCGGCUAACUCCGUGCCAGCCGCCGCCGUAA